rnacentral:lncRNA from 1 species
GCUCCAGCUGCUUCCUGGACAUGAACGGUUCAUGGGUAUCCCACUGGUGCUUCCUACACAAUAUGUCCAAAGUCAAACUUGGCAAACGUGCUGUGCCUGCACUGCGUGCAAUUAACUGGCCAGUUUUCCACACCAAGAAGCAUGUAAAGUCCUUCUCAGAGUUGGCAGGAUCCUCUAAGAGAGAAUUUCCAUUCGUUUAGGACCAAGACCUCCCCUUUGAGUGAUUUGAGACUCACUAAUCCAAAGCCCUCUUUAAUGAGCCACAACCCUUGACUCCCAGGAAACCUAGCAGGUAAUCCUGCUUUGGGCAGGGACAAAGACUCCAACUGGCUUUGGGGAGGCAGUUCAAAUUGUUUGACAAUGUUAGUCCCAGGGAUUGAGAAGAAAAUAAGCCAGAUAUUGAGAAAGCU